rnacentral:rRNA from 1 species
AUGAGAGGGAGAGAGAGAGAGAGAGAGAGGAAAGGGGAGAGGAAGGGCUUCUACGUCACCGCUCUCUGGAUGCACGCCAUCCACCCGCGCACGCUCGCCACCAACCUCGCCGGCUUCGCCAGGUUCGGCUACCUCAAGGACCUCCCUGAGAUCCUCUAUCGUUUCCUCCACGACCCCCGCGAUGAGCGCAAGGACCAGGAUGACGUCACCGCGGCGGCCCCGGGGGCAAGAAAGGCAAGCGGCAAGCCACGCUGCGUCGACGGCCUUGCCGCCACCGCGACUGAGGCCGCCAAGGCCCGGCGCGAGAAGGAGGCGGAGCACGCGCAGGCCGUGCUCGCGCGUUAUGACUCUGAUGAGGCCUUUCACAACCUCUACUACGGCGUCGCCAACCUCUUCGUCUGGCUGCUCAAGUCGGGCCUGGAGCACCUGCGCGCGGGCGACACGGCCAAGAUCGUGUUCGCCGCCAAGUGCGCUCGUCGUACGCAUAGGUCUCCUUUGCGCCAUGGGUGCCGCUGGCUGAGGAUGGAGCAGCAGGCAUGGAAGAAAUCUACAGCCAAUUUCUCUUGGCUGCGCCAUCUUCCGCUGACAACAACUCUACACAACAGCCUGCUAAGGUGCACCAGGAGAAGUCUGAUGAUAAGGCUGAAGCUCUUUCAUCUUCUGUUGAAGGAAAGAAUGAUAAGGAUGACCAGGGGUAGAUGA